GGAACCGUACGUGCAGUUGCUUGCAAAAGACCUCGUCGGCUCGAAUACAACAAAGUUGUUACAACAGCAUAUUCAGACUAGCCAAGCAAUGCUGCAGUCGGACAUGGUGUUUAUGCUGACGGGGUUUGGCAUACACGGGUUACGCGUGCAGGAGUCACAAGGUCGGACUCGCAGAAGACAAGCCGGGAGCGUUUUCGGGAGUGCAGUACGUCGCUCACGAGAUCGGUCAUCUGCUAGGUUCACCACACGACGGGCAUGGCAGUUCGAUGAAGUGCAGCGCCACGAACGGUUACUUGAUGAGCCCAACUGCGGGAGGAGCACGCUCCUUCUCGUUUUCAAAGUGCAGCAAGGAUGCAAUUAGUACGUUUCUGCGAUUAAGUGGUUCUGCGUGCCUGAAAACUAAUACAAAUCCUGAAGUCGUUGUACUGCCUAGCAACAAUAUUAAACUGCCGGGAGAGCUGUUGAACGGAGCAGAAUUCUGCAAGAAGUAUUUCUCUACAUAUAAGAACGUCGCCUACAUUAAGCGUGAUUCUGACCUUCGUAGAUGCAGGUUACGGUGUCAAUUGGGGCCCCGAAGUCAGACGUUCAAAGACGCACUCGACGGGACUCCUUGCGACAGUACUCGCCCGGAAAUGAAAUGCAAGGAAGGUGCCUGCAAGCAAUGGUGAUAGAUGACUGCCUCAAGUGGAGUAAUUGUGGUGCUAUAGUAAAGGUCCACACCCUGUCUGGUCAUCAAAACAUAUUAAGGAUAUACUGGUUAACGGAAAUAUACAAAAGUUGACCUUUCUCCUUAUAGGCACGGAGUUGAGCAGUACGGUGAAAAUAAGGACGCUAAUCAGCGCUGUAGUAAAAGAGCUACGCAGGAAACUGUUCAUUUAUUUUGUAACGACCUCGCAACAAAAAAAAUAAAAAAAAGCAACUAAAUGUCGAAGAUAAUAGGAACAAGACACUCUAAUAAAAGUUAUUGCUACAAUAAAUGCUGUUGCAAUUUUCACUUUCUAGAUUGUUUCUUUAUUUCUUUCUUUCGCUGAAGCAAUAACUUCCUUGUGUCCGUUAUAGCCUUUUGGCACAUGGAGUUUGCUGACGUCACUGCGGUGCAUUCACUCGCAAUGUUGAGCUGAGAAGGAAGUAGGGUGCCUUCUCUAGUAGCCUGAAUAUUUGUCAGAUGUUUAUGUUUACUAUGGCGCUCACAUUUUCCGUGACAUCUAUGUAUACGUCGACAUCUGCCUAACUAAGACCAAAACGUAAGUGUGUAAAG